AAUGUAGUGUUAUACAAUUACCUUUCGAAGUUGGAAGUUGAUGCACAAAUUUGGUUGGAUUGUGAUUUCAUCAACAGUGGUGGUUACCUGCUUACAUUUUGUUUCCUUUCUUGAGGAAUCUUAGUAUUUAUAUAUUAUUAUAAAUACGGUGAAAAUAAAAA